rnacentral:rRNA from 1 species
CUGAUGCGUUGUUGGGUAGGGGAGCGUUCUGUAAGCCUGUGAAGGUGGCCUGUGAGGGUUGCUGGAGGUAUCAGAAGUGCGAAUGCUGACAUAAGUAACGAUAAAGCGGGUGAAAAGCCCGCUCGCCGGAAGACCAAGGGUUCCUGUCCAACGUUAAUCGGGGCAGGGUGAGUCGACCCCUAAGGCGAGGCCGAAAGGCGUAGUCGAUGGGAAACGGGUUAAUAUUCCCGUACUUGGUGUUACUGCGAAGGGGGGACGGAGAAGGCUAUGUUGGCCGGGCGACGGUUGUCCCGGUUUAAGCGUGUAGGUGUGUGUUCCAGGUAAAUCCGGUUCACUUUAACACUGAGGCGUGACGACGAGGCACUACGGUGCUGAAGCAACAAAUGCCCUGCUUCCAGGAAAAGCCUCUAAGCAUCAGGUAACAUCAAAUCGUACCCCAAACCGACACAGGUGGUCAGGUAGAGAAUACCAAGGCGCUUGAGAGAACUCGGGUGAAGGAACUAGGCAAAAUGGUGCCGUAACUUCGGGAGAAGGCACGCUGACAUGUAGGUGAAGUGAUUUACUCAUGGAGCUGAAGUCAGUCGAAGAUACCAGCUGGCUGCAACUGUUUAUUAAAAACACAGCACUGUGCAAACACGAAAGUGGACGUAUACGGUGUGACGCCUGCCCGGUGCCGGAAGGUUAAUUGAUGGGGUCAGCGCAAGCGAAGCUCCUGAUCGAAGCCCCGGUAAACGGCGGCCGUAACUAUAACGGUCCUAAGGUAGCGAAAUUCCUUGUCGGGUAAGUUCCGACCUGCACGAAUGGCGUAAUGAUGGCCAGGCUGUCUCCACCCGAGACUCAGUGAAAUUGAACUCGCUGUGAAGAUGCAGUGUACCCGCGGCAAGACGGAAAGACCCCGUGAACCUUUACUAUAGCUUGACACUGAACAUUGAGCCUUGAUGUGUAGGAUAGGUGGGAGGCUUUGAAGUGUGGACGCCAGUCUGCAUGGAGCCGACCUUGAAAUACCACCCUUUAAUGUUU